GAUGAACGCUGGCGGCGUGCCUAAUACAUGCAAGUCGAGCGAACGGACGAGAAGCUUGCUUCUCUGAUGUUAGCGGCGGACGGGUGAGUAACACGUGGAUAACCUACCUAUAAGACUGGGAUAACUUCGGGAAACCGGAGCUAAUACCGGAUAAUAUUUUGAACCGCAUGGUUCAAAAGUGAAAGACGGUCUUGCUGUCACUUAUAGAUGGAUCCGCGCUGCAUUAGCUAGUUGGUAAGGUAACGGCUUACCAAGGCAACGAUGCAUAGCCGACCUGAGAGGGUGAUCGGCCACACUGGAACUGAGACACGGUCCAGACUCCUACGGGAGGCAGCAGUAGGGAAUCUUCCGCAAUGGGCGAAAGCCUGACGGAGCAACGCCGCGUGAGUGAUGAAGGUCUUCGGAUCGUAAAACUCUGUUAUUAGGGAAGAACAUAUGUGUAAGUAACUGUGCACAUCUUGACGGUACCUAAUCAGAAAGCCACGGCUAACUACGUGCCAGCAGCCGCGGUAAUACGUAGGUGGCAAGCGUUAUCCGGAAUUAUUGGGCGUAAAGCGCGCGUAGGCGGUUUUUUAGGUCUGAUGUGAAAGCCCACGGCUCAACCGUGGAGGGUCAUUGGAAACUGGAAAACUUGAGUGCAGAAGAGGAAAGUGGAAUUCCAUGUGUAGCGGUGAAAUGCGCAGAGAUAUGGAGGAACACCAGUGGCGAAGGCGACUUUCUGGUCUGUAACUGACGCUGAUGUGCGAAAGCGUGGGGAUCAAACAGGAUUAGAUACCCUGGUAGUCCACGCCGUAAACGAUGAGUGCUAAGUGUUAGGGGGUUUCCGCCCCUUAGUGCUGCAGCUAACGCAUUAAGCACUCCGCCUGGGGAGUACGACCGCAAGGUUGAAACUCAAAGGAAUUGACGGGGACCCGCACAAGCGGUGGAGCAUGUGGUUUAAUUCGAAGCAACGCGAAGAACCUUACCAAAUCUUGACAUCCUUUGACAACUCUAGAGAUAGAGCUUUCCCCUUCGGGGGACAAAGUGACAGGUGGUGCAUGGUUGUCGUCAGCUCGUGUCGUGAGAUGUUGGGUUAAGUCCCGCAACGAGCGCAACCCUUAAGCUUAGUUGCCAUCAUUAAGUUGGGCACUCUAAGUUGACUGCCGGUGACAAACCGGAGGAAGGUGGGGAUGACGUCAAAUCAUCAUGCCCCUUAUGAUUUGGGCUACACACGUGCUACAAUGGACAAUACAAAGGGCAGCGAAACCGCGAGGUCAAGCAAAUCCCAUAAAGUUGUUCUCAGUUCGGAUUGCAGUCUGCAACUCGACUACAUGAAGCUGGAAUCGCUAGUAAUCGUAGAUCAGCAUGCUACGGUGAAUACGUUCCCGGGUCU
rnacentral:rRNA from 1 species